rnacentral:lncRNA from 1 species
AGACAAGUCCCAACUCCUUUAAAACUCAAAAUUUUUCGCUAUAAAUUUAACCCCUUCCCCUCUACAAAUUUUCAUCACCAAGGUUCAUCCUUUUUCUCCCUAAUCAUUCUUCCAAGUUCUUCUCUAUUUGUUCUCGAUUUAAAGAAUUUUGCCACAGUUUUGAGGUCCCAAGAUCUCUGAGAACCCAAGUAUUACCUUUAAGAAGUUCCUCUUUAAUCUCUUUUGGAAAUUUAGACUGAGAUUUUGAGUUUUUAUUUGCUAUAUUUUGAAAGAAAAAUUGAGAUUUUGGAAACCCCUGUUCUACCAUUCGUUUUGAUGAUUUUUUCGGUUGCUGGUUGCCGUCGCUGGUCACCGGACCUGGCAUGCCGUCGCCACCGCAGCCUUCUCCGACCAUCAUGGUCGUCGGCCAGGAGUGGACCUCCCUUGCCUUGCGAACAAGGGGAUCAAAGGAUCCCCUAUUCUGUGGAAGAAGGAAGAGAGAGGGACGUGGGUUUCCUCUCUCGUGAAGGAAAAAAAAGAAGAAAAAAAGAGGAAAGAAAAAGAAAAGAAAAGAAAAGAGAAAGGAAAGAAAAAAAUAAAUAACUAAAAAAAAGAGUUUCUAUCUCUUCUCUCUCCCUUAAGUCUGAACCCUUAUUUUCUCUCUCUAGAAUGUUGGACUUUCUCUCUCUAAUUUCUCUUUCUAUACUCUCUCUAGAAUUUUCUCUCUCUAGAUUAAUUCUCUCUCUUGAUGGAUUUUUCUCUUGAAGUUAUUUUUCUAACAUUAGCCCAGUGAAGGACUUUUUUUAACGAUUUUGAUUGAAUUUAGUGAAGAAUCCGAUCUUAAUUGGAGUUUUGAUUUGAAAUUUGUUUAGAUCUAAUUCUGAAUUAGAAUUAAUGUAAAAAUAUAAUUUUGAAUAAUAGGCACUAAAAAAUUUCUUAAAAGUUAAUUGAUUUGUUCGCUCAGUGGUCUAUGAAAAAUAAGAAAUGAAUAAUCUUUUCGAGAUAUUUCAUAUUUAUUUUAAAAAAUAAAUAAUUAUUCUUUAAAAUUAUGCAUGAUUUAUGAAAUUGUGUUUUGAACGAAAAAUGAUUCUGAAAUACUAUAGUUUAUUGAUUAUAUAUAUAUUCAGUAAAAAUUAUGAUAUGUUAUGAUACAAAUAUUUUGAUACAGAUCGAAUUUAUGCUCUCAGCCUAACUAUAUUUCAGUGGGCUCCAUCAAUGGAGAUUAUACGUUGGUAAUCAGUGAGCCCUGUCAAUGGAGAUUAUACAUUGGUACUCAGUGGACCCUACUAGUGAGGGUUAUGUACUGGUAUUUAGUGAACCCUGCCAAUGAGGGUUGUGCGCUGGUAUUCAAUGGACCC